rnacentral:rRNA from 1 species
GACGAACGCUGGCGGCGUGCCUAACACAUGCAAGUCGAACGGAGAUAGGUUGAAAGCUUGCUGGAUACUUAUCUUAGUGGCGGACGGGCGAGUAACGCGUGAGCAACCUGCCCCAGACUGGGGGAUAACGUCGGGAAACCGGCGCUAAUACCGCAUAACACUGCGAAGCCGCAUGGUUUUGCAGUCAAAGCUCCGGCGGUUUGGGAUGGGCUCGCGUCCAAUUAGCUAGUUGGUGAGGUAACGGCCCACCAAGGCGACGAUUGGUAGCCGAACUGAGAGGUUGAUCGGCCGCAUUGGGACUGAGACACGGCCCAGACUCCUACGGGAGGCAGCAGUGGGGAAUAUUGCGCAAUGGGGGAAACCCUGACGCAGCAACGCCGCGUGAAGGAAGAAGGCCUUCGGGUUGUAAACUUCUUUGAUCGGGACGAGAUGACGGUACCCGAGGAACAAGCCACGGCUAACUACGUG